GCCGCCCGUUCUCUAAUUCCGCCAUGGGCCGCCGACCUGCGAGGUGCUAUCGUCAGAUCAAGAACAAGCCAUACCCUAAAUCACGAUACUGCCGUGGUGUUCCUGAUCCAAAGAUCAGGAUCUACGAUGUGGGAAUGAAAAAGAAGGGAGUAGAUGAGUUUCCUUUCUGUGUCCAUCUUGUUAGCUGGGAGAAGGAGAACGUGUCCAGUGAGGCACUGGAAGCUGCUCGUAUUGCCUGCAAUAAGUACAUGACCAAGUUUGCUGGGAA
rnacentral:misc_RNA from 1 species